rnacentral:rRNA from 1 species
UUACCAUGCAAGUCGCACGAAACCUUUCGGGGUUAGUGGCGGACGGGUGUAGUAACGCGUUAGGAACCUAUCUGGAGGUGGGGGAUAACAUCGGGAAACUGGUGCUAAUACCGCAUGAUGCCUGAGGGCCAAAGGAGAGAUCCGCCAUUGGAGGGGCCUGCGUUCGAUUAGCUAGUUGGUUGGGUAAAGGCUGACCAAGGCGAUGAUCGAUAGCUGGUUUGAGAGGAUGAUCAGCCACACUGGGACUGAGACACGGCCCAGACUCCUACGGG